rnacentral:rRNA from 1 species
UGGGGAAUAUUGGACAAUGGGCGGAAGCCUGAUCCAGCAACGCCGCGUGAGGGAUGACGGCCUUCGGGUUGUAAACCUCUUUCAGUACCGACGAAGCGCCGAUGAUGGUGGUGACGGUAGGUACAGAAGAAGCACCGGCCAACUACGUGCCAGCAGCCGCGGUAAUACGUAGGGUGCGAGCGUUGUCCGGAAUUAUUGGGCGUAAAGGGCUCGUAGGCGGUUUGUCGCGUCGGGAGUGAAAACACUGGGCUUAACUCAGUGCUUGCUUUCGAUACGGGCAGACUAGAGGCAUGCAGGGGAGAACGGAAUUCCUGGUGUAGCGGUGAAAUGCGCAGAUAUCAGGAGGAACACCGGUGGCGAAGGCGGUUCUCUGGGCAUGUCCUGACGCUGAGGAGCGAAAGUGUGGGGAGCGAACA